rnacentral:rRNA from 1 species
UACGUAGGUGGCAAGCGUUAUCCGGAAUUAUUGGGCGUAAAGGGUGCGUAGGCGGUUUAUUAAGUCUAUGGUGAAAGUGCGGGGCUCAACCCCGUAUGGCCAUAGAAACUAGUAGACUUGAGUGCAGGAGAGGGCAAUGGAAUUCCAUGUGUAGCGGUAAAAUGCGUAGAUAUAUGGAGGAACACCAGUGGCGAAGGCGGUUGCCUGGACUGUAACUGACGCUGAAGCACGAAAGCGUGGGGAGCAAAUAGG